UGACGAACUUCGAGCCGACCUGAGUCGACCAAAUUGAUCGUCAAUGUCCGAUCGAACCGCGGGAAUGACCGAACCCGCGGCCCGAACACGGGAGAGAACGCUGAGCGUCACCAC
rfam:Nocardia farcinica IFM 10152 DNA, complete genome.